rnacentral:rRNA from 1 species
UACAGAGGUCUCAAGCGUUGUUCGGAUUCAUUGGGCGUAAAGCGCGUGUAGGCGGCUUUGCAAGUCGGGUGUGAAAGCCCUCAGCUCAACUGAGGAAGUGCGCCCGAAACUGCAGAGCUUGAGUACCGGAGAGGAUGGCGGAAUUCCCCAAGUAGAGGUGAAAUUCGUAGAUAUGGGGAGGAACACCGGUGGCGAAGGCGGCCAUCUGGACGGAUACUGACGCUGAGACGCGAAAGCGUGGGGAGCAAACAGG